GAUGAAGAACGUAGCGAAAUGCGAUAAGUAAUGUGAAUUGCAGAAUUCAGUGAAUCAUCGAAUCUUUGAACGCACAUUGCGCCCCUUGGUAUUCCGGGGGGCAUGCCUGUUCGAGCGUCAUUAUAACCCCUCAAGCUCAGCUUGGUGUUGGGCGUCUGUCCCGCUUCGCGCGCGGACUCGCCCCAAAGGUAUUGGCAGCGGUCGUGCCAGCUUCUCGCGCAGCACAUUGCGCUUCUCGAGGCACCGGUGGGCCCGCGUCCAUCAAGCUCACCCCCCCAGUUUGACCUCGGAUCAGGUAGGGAUACCCGCUGAACUUAAGCAUAUCAAUAAGCGGAGGA
rnacentral:misc_RNA from 1 species